AGCUCCAAUAGCGUAUAUUAAAGUUGUUGUGGUUAAAAAGCUCGUAGUUGGAUCUCAACAGACUUGGAUCGGUUUACUUUGUGUAAUACUGAUCCAAAGCUGUGCUUUUGCUGGAGGUUUAGGGGUGCUCUUGAUCGAGUGUCUCUGGAUGCCAGCAGGUCUACUUUGAAAAAAUUAGAGUGCUCAAAGCAGGCUAAAAUGCCUGAAUAUUCGUGCAUGGAAUAAUAGAAUAGGAUGUCGAUCCUAUUUUGUUGGUUUUCGGGACUCGACAUAAUGAUAAAUAGGGACAGUCGGGGGCAUUUGUAUUCAAACGACAGAGGUGAAAUUCUUGGACCGUUUGAAGACAAACUACUGCGAAAGCAUUUGCCAAGAAUGUUUUCA
rnacentral:rRNA from 1 species